GAACUCUAGAAUCCAUAUAUUUAACACAUGCUAGAAUCUCUAGGGUUUAAGUUCAUAAUAUUAGGUUAGGCUCGUUUAAUGUAAUAUUUACAUCAGUACCCAAUAUUAAAGAAAACAAGAAAUAUGUAUAAUAUAUUUGACUCAAAAUCGAAAAAGUCUACACGUCAGUACUUGCCCGAGGGAGAGCCGCCCCCCAAAAAGCUAGUAACCGAAGGGGACAUUGUGGUGAGAGAAUUAGCAAAGAACCAGUUAAAAACAGACAUUUCCUUAACAGAACAAUUAGCUAAAAAUAAGGAAUUUACUGCCCCAGAAACAUUCAGUGAGGUAACUGCACAUAUCAGGGGCCAAACUGAUUUGGAAGAGUUCAAAAGUGCCGUUGUUCAAAUUGAUAAAACUAAUGAGCUGAUAAGCAAAGGGCUUACCCAACAAGAUAUUAAGUUAUAUGAAGAAUUCACCACAUUGGGAUCUGAACUAUUUUGGCAGCAGGACAGGGACAUCUCGAGAGAUGUUUUAAAAGAACGAAUUGAGGAAAUUCUUAAAAUUGCUUGUGCUCCUGUCGAAAAAAGAAAAUGCAAAGUUCAAUAUUUAAUCUCUCGUCACCAACAAGAGUACCUAAAUGCACUAAAACCACAAAGUAUUGAAAACAAACUUUUAAAAUUUGCCACAGAAAAUAAAUCUUGCCGUGUCCAUCUGCCAGGGCCAAUGGAUUAUUUGCCAGACCUCGACAAGAAACUUCAGGAAGAAAUUCAGGAUUAUUCACAGUUAGAUUUGAAAAAAAUGAGAAAGAAAGCAAGAUCCUUAGGGAAACAGAUACAGGAGUUGGAUAAUUGUAAACCAAAACCAGACGAUAAGCAAUCCAAAGCUUCCCUAAACAGACAGUCUUUAUGGGAUGUUAAGGAAGUACCUCAGGAAAUCAUUACAGUUAAACAAGAGGAAAAAGUGUACUCUUGUAAGCCCCAAAAUUGGUACUGCAUCAAAGACGGUGAAAUAGUGAAACUUAACAAAGAUCACACCAUCCCAAAAUCUAAACUAACCUUAGAAGAAAUCAAGGGAAUACCUAAAUUUGCCAACUAUACCACCGGAGCACCAUCAAAUAAGCUAUUUUUAAAAAACUUAGCUGAUACAGUGACACCGGAAUUACUACAGACCCUGCUUAAGCAUUUUGAGGCCCAAAAUAUGGAAAUAAAAAUUAUGGGAGGUAGGAUGAAGGGGCAAGGGUUUAUCAAGUUCAGAGAUGAAGCUCAAGCAACUGAGGCCCUGGGAAUUCUUAACGGGGUAUUGGUCAAAGAGAGACCUAUAAUAGCUCAAUAUGGAAAGAAACCUUGAUGGAAUUUUAUGAGGAAAAGAAAAUGGUAAAUGUCAACGCAGAGCAAUGGAGGUAAUAAACGAAAGAAUGCUUGAGGCAGGACGAUUGAAAACAGAAAAAUUAAAACACAAAGAGGCCGAAGGUGAAUCGUAUUCAAGCACGAGAGAAAUUUGGCCGCUUACCUUGGUAGCUCACUGCAUAUGACCGACGCUGGCCAUGCUGCCGCUAAUAUGCACCGAACUGCCCAAGGUGGAGGACAUGUCCUGGAAACUGAACUGGGG